rnacentral:rRNA from 1 species
CCUACGGGAGGCAGCAGUGGGGAAUAUUGGACAAUGGGCGCAAGCCUGAUCCAGCAAUGCCGCGUGAGUGAUGAAGGCCUUAGGGUCGUAAAGCUCUUUUACCAGGGAUGAUAAUGACAGUACCUGGAGAAUAAGCUCCGGCUAACUCCGUGCCAGCAGCCGCGGUAAUACGGAGGGAGCUAGCGUUGUUCGGAAUUACUGGGCGUAAAGCGUACGUAGGCGGUUAUUCAAGUCAGAGGUGAAAGCCCGGGGCUCAACCCCGGAACGGCCUUUGAAACUAGGUAGCUAGAAUCUUGGAGAGGUCAGUGGAAUUCCGAGUGUAGAGGUGAAAUUCGUAGAUAUUCGGAAGAACACCAGUGGCGAAGGCGACUGACUGGACAAGUAUUGACGCUGAGGUACGAAAGCGUGGGGAGCAAACAGGAUUAGAUACCCUGGUAGUCCACGCCGUAAACGAUGAUAACUAGCUGUCCGGGCACUUGGUGCCUGGGUGGCGCAGCUACGACAUUAAGUUAUCCGUCCGUCGGGUAGGUACGGUCGCGAGAAUUAAAACGUUAAAAGUAAAGUUAGUACGGCGUGAGACGUGCCGACGGACGACGACGACGGGAGGUAGG